AUAAUAAAAAAGGAACAUUAACAAAAUUUAAUGAACGCAGGAGACCGCCAUCGUGAGCGGUUAAGCUUGUAAUUGAUGGCGGCCUCAUAAAAAGGGUUCGUGACUAUGAUUGGUAUAAUUACUGAACAAGUGGGUGCAAUGCAGGUGCAGGUGCGGGUGCAGAAGAUAGCUGUAUAAUUUAUAUUUUUUAUUUAAUUUAUAGUGGUAAAUGAGGAUUAAUUUGAAGGUUGGGAUGAAUAAGAUCGAAUGAUAUUUCUUUUAACAGUUGAUUUUAAAGAGUAUAAAGUGGAACAAGAUUUAAUAUUUUCUGCAAGAUUAUUCCAAAUGUCUGGACCAUGAUAACUAUUGAACUUAAACAUAUCAUCAAAAGACGAAGGGAGUAGGUUAUUAAUAUACUUAAACAUAAUGAUAGCUACUUGAAGAGUAUACAAGUCGGCAACUUUUAGUGUUUUCUGUUUGAAAAAUAAUGGAUCAGUGUGAGCCAAGUAAUGAGAUCCUGUACAAAUGCGAAUAACUCUCUUUUGUAAUUUGAAAAUAGAAGUCAGCUUUGUUGAGCCACAAUUAGCCCAAACAACGUUACAAUAAUUAAUAUACGGGAGUACUAAGGAAUUGUACAAUAGGAAUAAAGUUUUAAGAGGCAAAAUAAAUUUUAACUUAGAAAUAAUUCCAAUGCUUCUCGAAAUACGCAUUGUAAUAUGGUGCAGAUGCUCAUUCCAAGAUAAAGCUUCAUCUAUGAUAACCCCUAAAAAUUUAGAGUGAGUUUUCCGUUCUAAUGACUUGCCGUCAAUCUGUAGGUGAAAUUGAGUGUUAGAAAUAUGAGAGUGAUGUUUAAAAUAUAUGUAGUGAGUUUUUUGUGUGUUCAAAGAUAAUUUGUUAGCUUUGAACCACUGUGAUACUUUGUUUAUUUCAUGAUUUAAAAUAUUGUAUAACGAAGUAGGAUUUGUAUGAGAAAAAAAAAUAUUUGUGUCGUCA